UGGGAGGAAACUAUUGGAAUCUCUUACAAGGCUCUGCAACUUCCUUUUGCGUGGGAUGGUGGGAUUAGGCCUAUUGCUGUUGGGAACACGUUGCGGCGCCUUGUUUCGAAGCUUGCUUGUCGUGCAGUCAAGGAAGAGAUGGCGAAAUAUCUUCAGCCAUUUCAGGUUGGCUUUGUCGUGUGAGGC